rnacentral:lncRNA from 1 species
UGAAAUACAGGGAGAGAAUUGUAGAGAAUAGGAGUUUAUGGUUGUGAAAUUGCGUUUGUCAGAGGCUUGGGUGUAUAACUUAUCAGUGAGACUGUUGCUUAGUGGUACUUCACCAAAGGAGACUCGACUCUAAAGCAAGUUAUCAGAAGUUCUUUAAGGGUUGCAAACUUGCAAUUGGUGAUUCGAGCUCUGACAUUUGUGCAUAGUUAGGAGGUCUGAGUUUUUGAUUUGGUUGUGUGGAUACUAAGUGUGAGGUUCUACAAGUAUGGUUGGUUAAGAUGGCUACUAUGGGGUUGGUAUUGUGGGAAGUAGAUACUCAUGGUCUUCUUUGUUUACUGGAUUAGUUUGUUGCUUCGAAUGGUUUGGUUGCAGUUUAUAACUGUUAUUUUCUAUCAAAUCUGCAGUUUUGAUGUUUGAAUGCUCAGCAUUACAGAUUAGCUUAGAGAGAGUUUGGACAACAACUUCAACUUCAACUGUUAUUUGUAUGCCAUUGAGGAUUUAG